rnacentral:tRNA from 1 species
GCAUUGGUGGUUCAGUGGUGGAAUUCUUGCCUUCCAUGUAGAAGACCUGGGUUCUACUCCCAGCCAGUACU